rnacentral:rRNA from 1 species
AUGCCGGUGUCUGUGCUGGUUCUCGUGGCAUUGGUCGUGGUCUGCCUGUCCGCCAACGGGGCGGCGGCGCAGCAGGCGAGCGGCGUGGCUGCAACGUACAACCUGUACAGCCCAGAGAAGAUCAACUGGGACCUGCACGGCGCCAGCGUCUUCUGCGCGACGUGGGACGCCGACAUGCCGCUGGCGUGGCGGCAGAGGUACGGCUGGACGGCGUUCUGCGGCCCCGCCGGCGCGCACGCGAGGGUGGUGGACCAGUGCGGCAACGGCGGGCUCGACCUUGACGCCGCCGUGUUCCAGCAGAUCGACACCAACGGAGGCGGCGCCGCCAACGGCCACCUCGUCGUCGACUAUGAGUUCGUCGGCUGCCAAGACUAA